rnacentral:lncRNA from 9 species
GAGUAAUCAAAAUGUUUUGGAUUAUGUGCAAAGCACAUUUAUAUAGAUCAUUAGUAAAUUAUAUAUAUAUAUAUAUAUAUAUAUACAUACUUUAUAUAUAUAUAUAAUACACACCCACACAAACACAUUUGUUUUGUCCAUGAGUAUGGUAUUAAGUAUCUUUACUCUUUUCUCUCUCUGCAGUUUCACACUUCAUUUUUGUAUAUAUUCCUGACAAGGAAUCAUUCAUAUUGAAUUCUGCAUAAUCCAAGUGGAACUGUAACCAGAUGAUUCCAUGUGGCUCCCCCUGCUCAAACCCUAGUGCACGUUGCUGUAUGGAGAGCACACUGCAUGGGAAACCUCCCUCCUGGCUGCCUGUGUAAAAAAGCUUGGGACUACAGAGACCUAGGAUGCUGCUAUUUACAUUGUCCAUUUUGUCACUGCCAUGACUUUAGAGGACAUCACUUGCCCAGUGUGCAGAGAACAGGGGCCCUGAUUUGAUCACAAUCAACAGAAGCAUCAGGUCAGCAUUGUUCAGAAGUUCAACCCAGGCUCAAAUUUCUUGUUCCUAUAAAACUCUCAAAGCACACGUUCUUUUUUUUCCCCUUUUUGACUCCACAGAUUCUCAUCCAGUACCUUGCUCUGAUUGGUUAGAAUUAUAACCAGAAUCUUCUCACAAUUUUGCCUACAUCACCUCCUCCAUGGUAUAACAAGGAGCUCUGGAAAAUCAGGACGACCUGACCAGCAAGAAGUUACAGAUGUUUUUCCUGUGGAAGAUGAGACUCAACUGGAGAUACAAAUUCAGAAGCCAAUGGUAUAUCCGUGGAGGUGAAAUCAUAGAGUCAGUUGCUGUAUUUAUUAAGAACUUAGAGGAAGCAGAACAUGUGCUGGGGUCUAAGAGGGAGGCUGAAAAGGAAGAGGACUUGACUUUAUGCUCCAGAAGCUAGCCCCACCACUGAAUGUGCUCUGUGACCUCGCCGAACAUCUCUG